AAACUUUCAACAAUGGAUCUCUUGGUUCCGGCAUCGAUGAAGAACGCAGCGAAAUGUGAUAAGUAAUGUGAAUUGCAGAAUUCCGCGAAUCAUCGAAUCUUUGAACGCAUAUUGCGCUCUCCGGGAGUCCAGAGAGCAUGCCUGUCCGAGCGUCAGU
rnacentral:rRNA from 1 species